CGAGAAAGGAUAAGGAAGCACUUCCUUUAGCAAUAACAACUACGGAAUGGCAAAAAUGACCCAGCCUCCAGAGAGGACAGCUUGACAUUUUGGUGAUGUGUGGAGUGCUGCUGUGUCCUGAUGUCCUGGCUCUGACGCUGAAAGCGGGCACAGCAUCUCUGAUGCGAUCUCGGCUCACUGCAAACUCCGUAUCCCGGGUUCAAGUGAUUCUCCUCCCUCAGCCUCCUGAGUAGCGGGGAUUACAAGUGCAUGCCACCAUGCUCGACUAAUUUUUGUAAUUUUAGUAGAGACGGGAUUUUGCCAUGUUGACCACGGUGGUCUUGAACUCCCGACCUCAGG
rnacentral:lncRNA from 10 species